rnacentral:rRNA from 1 species
AUACGUAGGGGGCGAGCGUUAUCCGGAAUUACUGGGUGUAAAGGGUGUGCAGGCGGCAUUGCAAGUUUGAUGUGAAACCCCGGGGCUUAACUCCGGGCAUGCAUCGAAAACUACAGAGCUAGAGUACAGGAGAGGAAAGCGGAAUUCCUAGUGUAACGGUGAAAUGUGUAGAUAUUAGGAAGAACACCAGUGGCGAAGGCGGCUUUCUGGACUGAAACUGACGCUGAGACACGAAAGCGUGGGGAGCAAACAGGAUUAGAUACCCUGGUAGUCCACGCUGUAAACGAUGAAUACUAGGUGUCGGGGCCGUAGGCCUCGGUGCCGCAGUUAACGCAAUAAGUAUUCCACCUGGGGAGUACGGCCGCAAGGCUGAAACUCAAAUGAAUUGACGGG